UACGGAGGGUGCGAGCGUUGUCCGGAAUCACUGGGCGUAAAGGGCGCGUAGGCGGCGUCGUGAGUCAACGGUGAAAGCUCAGGGCUCAACCCUGAGUCGGCCGUCGAUACUGCGAGGCUUGAGCACUGUAGAGGCAGGUGGAAUUCCGGGUGUAGCGGUGGAAUGCGUAGAGUAUCCGGAAGAACACCGGUGGCGAAGGCGGCCUGCUGG
rnacentral:rRNA from 1 species